GCCCCGACCCCAAAAGUAUUGGCCCCAUCCCCGCCCCAUUAGGGUCGGGUACCCGAACCCGCGGGUAUAAUUGCCAUCCCUAUUUCCCGUCUCUCCACCUCUCUCUACUCCUCUCCAGCGACGGCCAGCUUCCUCUCCGGCGAACAACGUAGAUCGCCGCGACUCUUCUCAACUCUCUACCUCCCCUUCGUUUCUCUGCCCCUCUCACGAUGAACGGCGUAGAUCCCCGCCGUAUUCCCUCUAUUCACGGCAAAAUAGGAGCGGCAAAGCCACCGCCUCCUACCUCGCCGCAAUGAUUUCAUCUCAACUGCAACAUUUUGAAGGCGUGCGUCCCAGAUUUCAUCUCCUCCAUGGGAAAUUUACAGUACGAAUUUUGAAGGCGCGCAGCGAAGGAUGGAUUUAUUGCAAGAACCGAUUUCUA
rnacentral:lncRNA from 1 species